AACUGGAAUCUGGGAACAUGCACACCAUUGGAGUUUAUACCUGGCUGGCUGCUUCUGUUCGAAAUUACGAACGUCAUAUGGAUUUUGUGGACUCUCUGCCACAGAGGCUUCCCCAAGCAACAGAAGUUGCAACAGAGUCUGAGAGGGAAAUGGCAGAAAUUGCACAGUCUAACAGGGCAUAGCAGGAAAGUGGCGAUGGAACUGCUGUUGGUCAGCUUGUGCAGAUCAAUAGUAUUUAGAACCUUUCCGAUGACCGAAAAGGCGUGGAGAGGAGGAACAGCAUCCCCCAUCGAUGGUGCCCCACCAGCAGUCGCUUCAACUCAAAUCAGUUCUAUGAUAUUUCUCGGUGGGCAAACACAAUAAUACAUUUUAUUCUUUGCUGUUUCUGAACUUGUUUAGUUUGGUAAUGGUCGAUUAUCGGAUGGUAAUAGAGUAAUUGAAUAGCAGCUCUUGUCAUUUUUCAAUGUUUUGCCUUUGUCUAUUUGUUGUGUGUUUCUUGUUUAUUGAACAUGUCCAUUCUGUUUUAAUGUAUGUCAUUGUAUUCCUGUCCUUUGUUUAAAAUGUAAGUAUCUGUGGACAUUUCUGUGUAAUUGUUAGAUGUGAGCCUGGUAUUCCCCAACCUGAGUCGAAUGGAAUAGACAGGUUUGCUUCUUCCAAGGUAUUGUGUUUUCAUUGACCUGUUAGUUGUGGAGUUUGUAUAUCAAUUUAGAUAAUUUUGUAAAUAUUGUCAUUUGAACAUCUAUAUCACCAUUGUCAUCUUUAAAUAAAAUAAUUACUUCUACACCUGAUCCUACCUGCCUCCUGCAACAUUUAACUGUCCAAAAAUGGAUUUAGCAACUAAGGAUUCUUGCUUUAAGGGUUAAGUGUGUAGAGAAAAAAAUAGAGAUGUAGACUUCUGAUAAAUUGACUUUACUGGAGAGAGGAGACACGAGGCCAUGGUAUGGUUGAAAUGUAAUAAAUCAUUAUUCUGGGUACAUGCAUUUAUUGGGCAAUUCCUCGAGGGCCUGAUUGGUGUCACAGUUUUGCUGCAGCCCCAGCUAACACACCUGACUCCAAUAAUCAACUAAUCAUGAGCUUCAGUUUAGAAUGCAAUUUGAUUAAUUAGCUGUGUUUGCUAGGGAUGGAGAAAAAGUGUGACACCAAUCAGGCCCUUGAGGACUGGAGUUGCCCACCCCUGAUUUAGGGCCUAAAUUCAACAUGCAAGAAGCAAGAGCAAGUUAAUCCUACAUCUUAGAUGUAAGGGCAUAGUACAAAAUUAAUAGCAUGGCAUUUCCAUCUACAGUUGGGUGUCAAAAGCUGUGGCUAAAAAUAAUUGUAUUCUUUACAGUGUACACUAUGUUUAAACAAACGGCAGAAGGGGUUAGAACUACAAUUUCGGCGCCAUUUCCGGUCGCCGCCGCUGGACACAAUGCAACAUGAAACAGGGAGUUGUAGUUCACAGAAAGCAUAGGUGUAUUCGAACCAUUGUACUUCCUCAGCACUGAAACAUUGUGACAUUUUGGGUUUUGGAAUCCCGAUCAUGGAACACCCCUUAAACAUAUUACAUAAUGUUCUCACUACAAUCUAGGACUUAUAGUGGUGAACUUUAUUUUUUAUAAACAGGCCUAUAGGCUUUUAUCUAGGGCAUAACAUACUCCUCAGUAAACUUGGGAAACA
rnacentral:lncRNA from 13 species